rnacentral:tRNA from 1 species
CCCUGGUUAUGUCAGUUGGUAGAGCGCUCCACUGGAAAUGGAAAAAUCCCGGGUUCGAACCUCAGACCAGGCG